rnacentral:pre_miRNA from 1 species
GGUACGGCGCCCCCCUCAGUCUGCCAGAGCCCGGAUGCCUCAGAAAUUCGGCUCUGGGUCUGUGGGGGACGAAAUGCAA